UACGGAGGGGCGAGUGUUGUUCGGAAUUACUGGGCGUAAAGGGCGCGCAGGCGGCCUGGCAAGUCGAGUGUGAAAUCCCUUGGCUUAACUGAGGAAUGGCGCUCGAAACUACCUCGCUGGAGGGCGGGAGAGGGAAGUGGAACUCUCGGUGUAGGGGUGAAAUCUGUAGAUAUCGAGAGGAACACCGGUGGCGAAGGCGGCUUCCUGGCCCGUACCUGACGCUGAGGCGCCGAAAGC
rnacentral:rRNA from 1 species